ACGAACGCUGGCGGCACGCUUAACACAUGCAAGUCGAACGAGAGAAGAGAAGCUUGCUUUUCUGAUCUAGUGGCGGACGGGUGAGUAACACGUGAGCAAUCUGCCUUUCAGAGGGGGAUACCGAUUGGAAACGAUCGUUAAUACCGCAUAACAUAAUUGAACCGCAUGAUUUGAUUAUCAAAGAUUUAUCGCUGAAAGAUGAGCUCGCGUCUGAUUAGCUAGUUGGUAAGGUAACGGCUUACCAAGGCGACGAUCAGUAGCCGGACUGAGAGGUUGAUCGGCCACAUUGGGACUGAGACACGGCCCAGACUCCUACGGGAGGCAGCAGUGGGGAAUAUUGCACAAUGGAGGAAACUCUGAUGCAGCGAUGCCGCGUGAGGGAAGAAGGUUUUAGGAUUGUAAACCUCUGUCUUCAGGGACGAAAAAUGACGGUACCUGAGGAGGAAGCUCCGGCUAACUACGUGCCAGCAGCCGCGGUAAUACGUAGGGAGCGAGCGUUGUCCGGAAUUACUGGGUGUAAAGGGAGCGUAGGCGGGAUCGCAAGUCAGAUGUGAAAACUAUGGGCUUAACCCAUAAACUGCAUUUGAAACUGUGGUUCUUGAGUGAAGUAGAGGUAAGCGGAAUUCCUAGUGUAGCGGUGAAAUGCGUAGAUAUUAGGAGGAACAUCAGUGGCGAAGGCGGCUUACUGGGCUUUAACUGACGCUGUGGCUCGAAAGCGUGGGGAGCAAACAGGAUUAGAUACCCUGGUAGUCCACGCCGUAAACGAUGAUUACUAGGUGUGGGGGGACUGACCCCUUCCGUGCCGCAGCAAACGCAAUAAGUAAUCCACCUGGGGAGUACGACCGCAAGGUUGAAACUCAAAGGAAUUGACGGGGGCCCGCACAAGCAGUGGAGUAUGUGGAUUAAUUCGAAGCAACGCGAAGAACCUUACCAGGUCUUGACAUCGUAUGCAUAGCUCAGAGAUGAGUGAAAUCUCUUCGGAGACAUAUAGACAGGUGGUGCAUGGUUGUCGUCAGCUCGUGUCGUGAGAUGUUGGGUUAAGUCCCGCAACGAGCGCAACCCUUACUGUUAGUUGCUACGCAAGAGCACUCUAGCAGGACUGCCGUUGACAAAACGGAGGAAGGUGGGGAUGACGUCAAAUCAUCAUGCCCCUUAUGACCUGGGCCUCACACGUACUACAAUGGCUGUCAACAGAGGGAAGCAAAGCCGCGAGGUGGAGCAAACCCCUAAAAGCAGUCUUAGUUCGGAUUGUAGGCUGCAACCCGCCUACAUGAAGUCGGAAUUGCUAGUAAUCGCAGAUCAGCAUGCUGCGGUGAAUACGUUCCCGGGCCUUGUACACACCGCCCGUCACGCCAUGGGAGUCGGUAACACCCGAAGCCUGUAGUCUAACCGCAAGGAGGACGCAGUCGAAGGUGGGAUUGAUGACUGGGGUG
rnacentral:rRNA from 1 species